rnacentral:rRNA from 1 species
AUGCUGCAGAUACCAUCUAUUAAGAUGCGUACCCUACUGAUUAGGUAUAUGAUUGAGAAUUUUGAUGCCAGCAAGUCCAGAUUCGUUAUACAAGAGCAGGUUGGGGAGGUGACUCUCGGUGCGGUCGACAUCGAGUGCAUCUUUAACCUCGAGAACCAAGGACUCUCCGCUUCAGACAUUCUGAUUGAAGAAGGAGAGGACAUGAAGGAGCGGGUGCCGCCACAAUUUCUCAGUAAGACAUCAGAAAACAUAGUGAUAGAUAAUAUCAUUGAGGACAUAAUUAAAAGUAAAGCCACCGACGACGAUUUCCUUCGGAAAUUAGUCCUUGUCCUGUUAGGAACAAUUAUUGCUCCCAUGUUGAGCAGGAUUAUGCCAAAGCAAUACUACAUGUUGGUCCAUGAUGUGAAACGUAUUUCAAAGAUUAACUAGAAUGCGUUCACCCUGCGUGUUCUCCUCGAUUGCCUUCGCAUAGUCAAGAAAGGCAAACACCUCCGCCAAUGGCCGAAAGGAAAUUUGGCUCUGUUGCAGGUACACAUAUGA